rnacentral:rRNA from 1 species
GACGAACGCUGGCGGCGUGCUUAACACAUGCAAGUCGAACGAUGAAGCCGGAGCUUGCUCUGGUGAAUUAGUGGCGAACGGGUGAGUAACACGUGAGUAACCUGCCCUUGACUCUGGGAUAACUGCGGGAAACUGUAGCUAAUACCGGAUACGACCCUCGGAGGCAUCUCCUGGGGGUGGAAAGAAUUUCGGUCAAGGAUGGACCCGCGGCCUAUCAGCUAGUUGGUGAGGGAAAGGCUCACCAAGGCGACGACGGGUAGCCGGCCUGAGAGGGAGACCGGCCACACUGGGACUGAGACACGGCCCAGACGCCUGCGGGAGGCAGCAGUGGGGAAUAUUGCACAAUGGGCGCAAGCCGGAUGCAGCAACGCCGCGUGAGGGAUGACGGCCUUCGGGUUGUAAACCUCUUUUAGCAGGGAAGAAGCGAAAGUGACGGUACCUGCAGAAAAAGCACCGGCUAACUACGUGCCAGCAGCAGCCGCCG